rnacentral:rRNA from 1 species
AGCGAACGCUGGCGGCAGGCUUAACACAUGCAAGUCGAACGCCCCGCAAGGGGAGUGGCAGACGGGUGAGUAACACGUGGGAACGUACCCUUUGGUUCGGAAUAACUUGGGGAAAAGCAAGCUAAUACCGGAUAAGCCCCUACGGGGAAAGGUUUACUGCCGGAGGAUCGGCCCGCGUCUGAUUGGCUAGUUGGUGAGGUAAUGGCUCACCAAGGCGACGAUCAGUAGCUGGUCUGAGAGGAUGAUCAGCCACACUGGGACUGAGACACGGCCCAGACUCCUACGGGAGGCAGCAGUGGGGAAUAUUGGACAAUGGGGGCAACCCUGAUCCAGCCAUGCCGCGUGAGUGAUGAAGGCCUUAGGGUUGUAAAGCUCUUUUACCCGGGACGAUAAUGACUGUACCGGGAGAAUAAGCCCCGGCUAACUUCGUGCCAGCCGCCGCCGUAA